rnacentral:tRNA from 1 species
GGGGCCAUAGUUCAGCUGGGAGAAUGCUACAAUGGCAUUGUAGAGGUCGCGGGUUCGAUCCCCGCUGGCUCCACCA